rnacentral:rRNA from 1 species
GAUCCUGGCUCAGGAUGAACGCUGGCGGCGUGCUUAACACAUGCAAGUCGAACGGGAAACAUUUUAUUGAAGCUUCGGCAGAUUUAGCUUGUUUCUAGUGGCGGACGGGUGAGUAACGCGUGGGUAACCUGCCUUAUACCGGGGGAUAACAGCCAGAAAUGACUGCUAAUACCGCAUAAGCGCACAGAACCGCAUGGUUCGGUGUGACAAACUCCGGUGGUAUAAGAUGGACCCGCGUUGGAUUAG